rnacentral:rRNA from 1 species
GGCAGGUACAGAGGGAUGCUACCGGGCGACCGGAUGCGGAUCUCGAAAGCCUGUCCCAGUUCGGACUGGAGUCUGCAACUCGACUCCACGAAGUUGGAUUCGCUAGUAAUCGCGCAUCAGCCAUGGCGCGGUGAAUACGUUCCCGGGCCUUGUACACACCGCCCGUCAAGCCAUGGGAGCCGGGGGCGCCUGAAGUCCGGGACCGCGAGGACCGGCCUAGGGCGAAACUGGUAACUGGGGCUAAGUCGUAACAAGGUAUC